GUCUUCUUCUAGAGCUUUUACAGGAAGUGAUUUCUUUGGAAAGUCUGCUAAUACUCCUGCUAAUGUUACAAAAGAAAAUAAGUUUAACAGUUCUGUAGAUCAUGGCCAUGCUUCUGCCUGUAGGAGGGAUAUAUGUCCACCUGAGUGCCUAACUGGGAAAUCAUUUAUGAAUGGAGAUGAUAAGAAUGUAAACCGUCCUGUGCACUCAGAACUGCAAGCAAGGACGGCACCUAAAAAAUCAUGGCAACAAUUAUUU
rnacentral:misc_RNA from 1 species